rnacentral:rRNA from 1 species
GACGAACGCUGGCGGCGUGCUUAACACAUGCCAGUCGAACGGAAAGGCCUCUUUCGGGGGGUACUCGAGUGGCGAACGGGUGAGUAACGCGUGAGUAACCUGCCCUUGACUUUGGGAUAACUUCAGGAAACUGGGGCUAAUACCGGAUAGGAGCUCCUGCUGCAUGGUGGGGGUUGGAAAGUUUCGGCGGUUGGGGAUGGACUCGCGGCUUAUCAGCUUGUUGGUGGGGUAGUGGCUUACCAAGGCUUUGACGGGUAGCCGGCCUGAGAGGGUGACCGGCCACAUUGGGACUGAGAUACGGCCCAGACUCCUACGGGAGGCAGCAGUGGGGAAUAUUGCACAAUGGGUGGAAGCCUGAUGCAGCAACGCCGUGUGCGGGAUGACGGCCUUCGGGUUGGAAACCGCUUUCGCUCAUGACGAAGCUUUGUGUGACGGUAGUGGGUAAAGAAGCACCGGCUAACUACGUG